rnacentral:misc_RNA from 1 species
GUACAAGUUCUUUCGCUCCUACGGCGAACGACGCGUUCCGAUGACAUGCAAAGGGGGUGUGUGUAGUGUGUUACAAAAGGGACGCGGGCCCCGAACGAGUGAACGCCCGUGACCCGCGCAGAGGUGCACAGGUGUGUGAGAGACGAAGACGGAGACGCGGCGUGCACGGUUGCGACCCCGAGGGGGAAGCCAGCUACAACCUCGCUCUAGCUUUCGUUAAUGAUCCUUCCGCAGGUUCACCUACGGAAA